rnacentral:rRNA from 1 species
UACGGAGGGUGCGAGCGUUAAUCGGAAUAACUGGGCGUAAAGGGUACGCAGGCGGGUUUUUAAGUGAGAUGUGAAAUCCCCGGGCUUAACCAGGGAAUAGCACUUCAGACUGGGAGUCUAGAGUACUUUAGGGAGGGGGAGAAUUCCACGUGUAGCGGUGAAAUGCGUAGAGAUGUGGAGGAAUACCGAAGGCGAAGGCACCCCCUUGGGCAUGUACUGACGCUCAUGUGCGAAAGCGUGGGGAGCAAACAGG